GAUGAACGCUGGCGGCGUGCUUAACACAUGCAAGUCGAACGGAAAGGCCCAAGCUUGCUUGGGUACUCGAGUGGCGAACGGGUGAGUAACACGUGGGUGAUCUGCCCUGCACUUCGUGAUAAGCCUGGGAAACUGGGUCUCAUACCGGAUAGGACCUCUUCUUGGAUGUUGUGGUGGAAAGAUUUUUCGGUGUGGUAUGAGCUCGCGGCCUAUCCGCUUGUUGGUGGGGUAAUGGUCUACCAAGGCGUCGACGGGUAGCCGGCCUGAGAGGGUGAACGGCCACAUUGGGACUGAGGUACGGCCCAGACUCCUACGGGAGGCAGCAGUGGGGAAUAUUGCACAAUGGGCGCAAGCCGGAUGCAGCGACGCCGCGUGGGGGAUGACGGCCUUCGGGUUGUAAACUACUUUCGCUAGGGACGAAGCGUUUUGUGACGGUACCUGGAGAAGAAGCACCGGCUAACUACGUG
rnacentral:rRNA from 1 species